UACGGGGGGAGCUAGCGUUAUUCGGAAUUACUGGGCGUAAAGCGCGCGUAGGCGGUUUUUCAAGUCAGGGGUGAAAGCCCGGAGCUCAACUCCGGAACUGCCCUUGAAACUGGAUGACUUGAAUCAUGGAGAGGUGAGUGGAAUUCCGAGUGUAGAGGUGAAAUUCGUAGAUAUUCGGAAGAACACCAGUGGCGAAGGCGACUCACUGGACAUGUAUUGACGCUGAGGUGCGAAAGCGUGGGGAGCAAACAGG
rnacentral:rRNA from 1 species